rnacentral:rRNA from 1 species
GACGAACGCUGGCGGCGUGCCUAAUACAUGCAAGUAGAACGCACAGUUUAUACCGUAGCUUGCUACACCAUAGACUGUGAGUUGCGAACGGGUGAGUAACGCGUAGGUAACCUGCCUGGUAGCGGGGGAUAACUAUUGGAAACGAUAGCUAAUACCGCAUAAUAUUGAUUAUUGCAUGAUAAUUAAUUGAAAGGUGCAAUUGCACCACUACCAGAUGGACCUGCGUUGUAUUAGCUAGUAGGUGAGGUAACGGCUCACCUAGGCGACGAUACAUAGCCGACCUGAGAGGGUGAUCGGCCACACUGGGACUGGGACACGGCCCAGACUCCUACGGGAGGCAGCAGUAGGGAAUCUUCGGCAAUGGACGAAAGUCUGACCGAGCAACGCCGCGGGAGUGAAGAAGGUUUUCGGAUCGGAAAGCUCUGUUGUAAGAGAAGAACGGGUGUGAGAGUGGAAAGUUCACACUGUGACGGUAUCUUACCAGAAAGGGACGGCUAACUACGUG